CGGCGAGCGAAGCGGCAACAGCUCAAAUUUGAAAUCUGGCUACUUUGUAGUCCGAGUUGUAAUUUGUAGAGGAUGCUUUUGGUGAGGUGCCUUCCGAGUUCCCUGGAACGGGACGCCAGAGAGGGUGAGAGCCCCGUACGGUUGGAUACCAAACCUUUGUAUAGCUCCUUCAACGAGUCGAGUAGUUUGGGAAUGCUGCUCUAAAUGGGAGGUAUAUCUCUUCUAAAGCUAAAUAUAGGCUAGAGACCGAUAGCGCACAAGUAGAGUGAUCGAAAGAUGAAAAGCACUUUGAAAAGAGAGUUAAACAGCACGUGAAAUUGUUGAAAGGGAAGCGCCUAUGACCAGACUUGUUUCUUUCAGUUUUGUUAGUUCUCGGACUGAUUUACUCUGUUAGUACAGGCCAGCAUCAGUUUGUUGUCGGGGAGAAAGGCUUAGGGAAUGUGGCUCCUUCGGGAGUGUUAUAGCCCUUUGCAUAAUACCCUUCGGCAGACUGAGGACCGCGCUUCGGCAAGGAUGCUGGCGUAAUGGUCAUCAGCGACCCGUCUUGAAACACGGACCAAGGAGUCAACCUUAUGUGCGAGUGUUUGGGUGUAAAACCCCAGCGCGUAAUGAACGUGAACGUAGGUGAGAGCUUCGGCGCAUCAUCGACCGAUUCUGAUGUUCUCGGAUGGAUUUGAGUAAGAGCACACAGGGUUGGACCCGAAAGAAGGUGAACUAUGCUUGUAUAGGGUGAAGCCAGAGGAAACUCUGGUGGAGGCUCGCAGCGGUUCUGACGUGCAAAUCGAUCGUCAAAUAUGAGCAUGGGGGC
rnacentral:rRNA from 1 species